rnacentral:lncRNA from 1 species
AGUGGAUGGGGUUGGUGGCGGCGGGGGCGGGGGGGAGGCGGGGGUCAGGCGUGCAGAGCGGUGGGGGGGAGUGUGCACUACUGGUGCAGGAGGGAAUCUUUAGGGAAUAAUUUUUCACUGUGCCCAAACAGUUCUGCAAACACGAAACACCAAAAAUAAAAACACAAAGCUAAUAUCUAUUAAAUGCAUAAGUGAGAAGGACAGAUUGAAGGGACGCGAGAAGGGGGAGAGCAUAAGGGGGAGAAGUUUGAGAGGAGGAAAGGAGGGAGAGACGGGAGGCAGGCACUUCGGAUAGAAUGCUGCGGGCUCCGUGGCCUCUAUCUAAAAUUCUGUGAGUAAAUAACUGUACAAGUGCUCUUUUCUUAUUCUUGAAGCCUCGAGACUGACAAUUUUUGCUCAAAUCCCGAUAAAGUGAUUUAUUUAAAAGUGCUUCUUUCCAGAAAUCCACAAAAUGGAGUCAAAUAGUCUCUUCUCUACUCCCACCAUCAAUUUUUGUUAUCUACACCAGCAAGGGAGUGGUGUUUAUGCUUUUUUUCUGUCUCGACUAUGUAAAGAAGAAAUCUGUUUUUUAUCAAGUAUGCGUUGACUUUUUUAAAAAUAUCAUAGUAUAAAACAUCAAAAUAUAUAAACUGAGAUAACUUCUUUAAAUGAGAAAAACAUCUGUAGAUAGGAAAAUUAAUCAUCUUGCCAGACGGCACCCCCAAAUCUAAGGGGUUGAAAGUACAUAAUCAUCUGUUCUCACAUCUCAUAGGAACUAAGGGGGCUAACCGAUAUAUUUCAUAACAGGAUCUCAAGAGUCUCUUGAAUUUUUGAGCCAACAAAAAAGAACACAUGCUAGAUUUUCUUCUUUCCCAUAUUGAAGAGGCAUCGGUUUCUUUCCAUAUAUUCACACCAGGUUGACCACACCAUGUUUUUGAUCAUUUCUUCUAUCAUGUGGUACUUUGCUCAAUUAGCAUGCAAAACCACUUUAUGUAGCUAAAAAAUUCUACCAAACACCCUAUCAUCACAAAUCAAAUGAGAAGAAGCUCUGAAACUAAGACUCCUGUGGUUCCCCACAGGCACGAGAGAAACCCAGUCCUCAUUCCCGUCGUGGCGCAGUGGUUAACGAAUCCGACUAGGAACCAUGGGGUUGCCGGUUCGAUCCCUGGCCUUGCUCAGUGGGUUAAGGAUCCUGCGUUGCCAUGAGCUGUGGUGUGGGUUGCAGACAUGGCUCGGAUCCCCCAUUGUUGUGGCCCUGGCGUAGGCCGGUGGCUACAGCUGCGAUUAGACCCAUAGCCUGGGAACCUCCAUAUGCCCUGGGAGCAGCCCUAGAAAAGGCAAAAGGACAAAAAAAAAAAAAAAAAAAAA